rnacentral:rRNA from 1 species
CAGCCGCCGCGGGAAUACGAAGGGUGCAAGCGUUAAUCGGAAUUACUGGGCGUAAAGCGUGCGUAGGCGGUGAGUUAAGUCUGCUGUGAAAUCCCCGGGCUCAACCUGGGAAUGGCAGUGGAUACUGGCUCGCUAGAGUGUGUCAGAGGAUGGUGGAAUUCCCGGUGUAGCGGUGAAAUGCGUAGAGAUCGGGAGGAACAUCAGUGGCGAAGUCGGCCAUCUGGGACAACACUGACGCUGAGGCACGAAAGCGUGGGGAGCAAACAGGAUUAGAUACCCCCGUAGUCCCUGUCUCUUAUAU